GUCCCGCAUCCAGCUGUCGCGCAAUACCCCUCGGAUGGGGCACCGAAGAUGAUUCAUCGGAUGGCGACAAUCCACCGGUAGUGCCAAAUUACGGUGCUAGCUCCAAUGAUGACAACGAUGUGUUCCGAGACCCCCUCAUGGGCGAUGAACCGAUACCAUCCGACUUGAUGGAUGAGGAGUACUACAUGUUUCGUGACCAAGGAUCCGGUAAUGACACAAUUGAGGAUGUUGAUGAAAUGAGCAUGUCGUCUGCUAUACCUAGCGAUGUUGACCCAUUAGACUUUGUCUACACAAACAUCCCAGACACCACUCACGU